rnacentral:rRNA from 1 species
UACGGAGGGUGCAAGCGUUAAUCGGAAUUACUGGGCGUAAAGCGCACGUAGGCGGUUAGGUAAGUCAGAUGUGAAAGCCCCGGGCUCAACCUGGGAACUGCAUUUGAUACUGCUUGACUAGAGUAUGGUAGAGGCAAGUGGAAUUCCAGGUGUAGCGGUGAAAUGCGUAGAUAUCUGGAGGAACAUCAGUGGCGAAGGCGACUUGCUGGACCAAUACUGACGCUGAGGUGCGAAAGCGUGGGGAGCAAACAGG